rnacentral:rRNA from 1 species
GAUGAACGCUGGCGGCGUGCCUAAUACAUGCAAGUCGAGCGAACAGACGAGGAGCUUGCUCCUCUGACGUUAGCGGCGGACGGGUGAGUAACACGUGGAUAACCUACCUAUAAGACUGGGAUAACUUCGGGAAACCGGAGCUAAUACCGGAUAAUAUAUUGAACCGCCUUGUUCAAUAGUGAAAGACGGUUUUGCUGUCACUUAUAGAUGGAUCCGCGCCGCAUUAGCUAGUUGGUAAGGUAACGGCUUACCAAGGCGACGAUGCGUAGCCGACCUGAGAGGGUGAUCGGCCACACUGGAACUGAGACACGGUCCAGACUCCUACGGGAGGCAGCAGUAGGGAAUCUUCCGCAAUGGGCGAAAGCCUGACGGAGCAACGCCGCGUGAGUGAUGAAGGUCUUCGGAUCGUAAAACUCUGUUAUUAGGGAAGAACAAAUGUGUAAGUAACUAUGCACGUCUUGACGGUACCGAAGCAGAAAGCCACGGCUAACUACGU